GAUGAAGAACGCAGCGAAAUGCGAUACGUAAUGUGAAUUGCAGAAUUCAGUGAAUCAUCGAGUCUUUGAACGCACAUUGCGCCCCCUGGUAUUCCGGGGGGCAUGCCUGUCCGAGCGUCAUUGCUGCCCUCAAGCACGGCUUGUGUGUUGGGCCUCCGUCCUCCUCCCGGGGGACGGGCCCGAAAGGCAGCGGCGGCACCGCGUCCGGUCCUCGAGCGUAUGGGGCUUCGUCACCCGCUCUUGUAGGCCCGGCCGGCGCUUGCCGACACAUCAAUCUUUUUUCCAGGUUGAGCUCGGAUCAGGUAGGGAUACCCGCUGAACUUAAGCAUAUCAAUAAGCGGAGGA
rnacentral:misc_RNA from 1 species